rnacentral:rRNA from 1 species
UACGUAGGGUGCGAGCGUUGUCCGGAAUUAUUGGGCGUAAAGAGCUUGUAGGCGGUUUGUCGCGUCUGCCGUGAAAUUUCGGGGCUCAACCCCGAACUUGCGGUGGGUACGGGCAGACUAGAGUGUGGUAGGGGAGACUGGAAUUCCUGGUGUAGCGGUGAAAUGCGCAGAUAUCAGGAGGAACACCGAUGGCGAAGGCAGGUCUCUGGGCCACUACUGACGCUGAGAAGCGAAAGCAUGGGAGCGAACAGG